UACGAAGGGGGCUAGCGUUGCUCGGAAUCACUGGGCGUAAAGGGUGCGUAGGCGGGUCUUUAAGUCAGGGGUGAAAUCCUGGAGCUCAACUCCAGAACUCGCCUUUGAUACUGAGGAUCUUGAGUACGGGAGAGGUGAGUGGAACUGCGAGUGUAGAGGUGAAAUCGUAGAUAUUCGGAAGAACACCAGUGGCGAAGGCGACUUACUGGACACAUAUGACGCUGAGGUGCGAAAGCGUGGGGAGCAAACAGG
rnacentral:rRNA from 1 species